rnacentral:rRNA from 1 species
GGAGGGGGCUAGCGUUGUUCGGAAUUACUGGGCGUAAAGCGCACGUAGGCGGCUUUGCAAGUUAGAGGUGAAAUCUCCGAGCUUAACUUGGAAACUGCCAUUGAUACUAUCAGUCUUGAAUACCGUGGAGGUCAGCGGAAUAUGUCAUGUAGCGGUGAAAUGCUUAGAUAUGACAUAGAACACCAAUUGCGAAGGCAGCUGACUACGCGAAUAUUGACACUGAUGCACGAAAGCGUGGGGAUCAAACAGGAUUAGAUACCCUGGUAGUCCACGCCCUAAACGAUGGAUACUCGACAUACGCGAUACACUGUGUGUGUCUGAGCGAAAGCAUUAAGUAUCCCACCUGGGAAGUACGAUCGCAAGAUUG